rnacentral:rRNA from 1 species
UAGGGAAUAUUGCACAAUGGGGGAAACCCUGAUGCAGCGACGCCGCGUGAAGGAAGAAGUAUCUCGGUAUGUAAACUUCUAUCAGCAGGGAAGACAAUGACGGUACCUGACUAAGAAGCCCCGGCUAACUACGUGCCAGCAGCCGCGGUAAUACGUAGGGGGCAAGCGUUAUCCGGAUUUACUGGGUGUAAAGGGAGCGUAGACGGAUCUGCAAGUCUGGAGUGAAAGCCCGGGGCUCAACCCCGGGCACUGCUUUGGAAAUCUGUCAGGCUAGAGUGCUGGAGAGGUAAGUGGAAUUCCUAGUGUAGCGGUGAAAUGCGUAGAUAUUAGGAGGAACACCAGUGGCGAAGGCGGCUUACUGGACAGUGACUGACGUUGAAGCACGAAAGUGUGGGGAGCAAACAGGAUUAGAUACCC